GACGAACGCUGGCGGCGUGCUUAACACAUGCCAGUCGAACGGAAAGGCCCUGCUUUUGUGGGGUGCUCGAGUGGCGAACGGGUGAGUAACACGUGAGUAACCUGCCCUUGACUUUGGGAUAACUUCAGGAAACUGGGGCUAAUACCGGAUAGGAGCUCCUGCUGCAUGGUGGGGGUUGGAAAGUUUCGGCGGUUGGGGAUGGACUCGCGGCUUAUCAGCUUGUUGGUGGGGGAGUGGCUUACCAAGGCUUUGACGGGUAGCCGGCCUGGGAGGGUGACCGGCCCCAUUGGGCCUGGGAUGCGGCCCGGGCUCCUUCGGGGGGAAGGAGGGGGGAAUAUUGCACAAUGGGCGGAGGCCUGAUGCAGCACCGCCGCGUGCGGGAUGACGGCCUUCGGGUUGUAAACCGCUUUCGCCUGUGACGAAGCGUGAGUGACGGUAAUGGGGAAAGAAGCACCGGCUAACUACGU
rnacentral:rRNA from 1 species